GUAAGCAUAGUUUAAACAAAAUAUUAGAUUGUGGGUGCUAAAGAUGGGAGCUAAACCCUCCUUGUUCACC
rnacentral:tRNA from 1 species